GAAGUGGGGUUUAUGUGCAGCCUGCAGUACCACUCUGAGGACACAAGAACUACCAAAUUAACAGCGCCGCUGGACUUUCUCAUAGUAAACUGUUUACCAUCCCUCCUAACAUCUGCAACAUGACAGUAUAUUCACAAAUGACUCUCAGACUAGAAGAUUCCAAAAAUACGUCUUAAAGUUUCAAGAAGAUGGAAUUACGAUCAGUACAGUUUCGAAGAUAAAUGUAAACAUCAUUCCAUGGAUUUGGAUUGUAUUGCAAAUGUUUCCUUCAAGUUCCCUUUGGUGCUUAAGAACACAGUUUUUUGAAGGAACAAUAGUACAAGCUGGGUUACUACACAAACCUGCAAGAAUGCAUUUUGUGCAUCACAAGUGUUAAACUUGAGGUAGCACGACUUCUUGCUACCCAACUGAUAUGUUGAUAUGUUGCCCUACCCCUGCCUCUUCAGUGAACACUGUAUGGUUGCUCCCAGUAGGUGGUGGUCUUCUCAUUUUCCUUUCCCAGUGACUGGUCUAGGGAUGGACAUGUGAUUGGGUCCUUGUUGGUGAGAUAUGAGAAAUGCAAGCCUUCACUCCUCUGAGAUGCAAUUGUCCCACCACCAUGUAUUGAAAAGACUAUUCUUUCUUUAUUGAGUUGUCUUGGCACCCUUGCUCAAAAUCAACUGGUCAUGGAUCAAUUUAUAGAGUUUGAAUUCUAUUCCAAGAACAUGCUGCCUGGCAGGUUGGCAGCUAUCUGCUACUCAGGAGGUGACAAGCCUGAGGAAAGACCAGAAUUCUGAGAAUAGUGGAGAGGAAGGACUGACUUGGCUGAAAUGCAAGAUGUGCUGCCUACCCUCCAUACUCCUUGGUAUACAGUAAACUAUAAACAUCCUAUGGUUUAAGACACCACUAAUUGUUACUUGCAGCUCAAUGUACAAUGACCAAAACAAAUACUUAGAGUUCUCCCAGUGGAAAUUCAUUCCAAGCUCUAGAUCAAAAUCCCUACAACAUUUUCAUUCAAUUCAAUAAGUUGUUGUUGUUGUUGUUGUUGUCCUUGUCAUUACUGUACUGGGAAUUGAACCCAGGCCUUGAAAUCUGCUAACAAGCUUUUGAUGUAUACGAACGAGCAAGACAAGCUACAAAACACAGCAGACCACAAAGAUGGCUCAGGUGGCCUUUGCCUUCUAGGUUAUUACCAUGGACAGAUAUGAAACUGAUCUUAAAAUUCAUAUGGAAAUGCAUAGAACCCAAAACCAUCAAAAUAAUCUUGAGGGCUUGGGUUGUGGCUCAGUGGUAGAGUGCUCGCCUAGCACAGGCGAGGCCCUGGGUUGGAUCCCCAACCACAUAAAAAUAAAGAUAUUGUGUCCAACUACAACUUAAUAAUAAAUUCUUUAAAAAAAAAACCCAGUCUUGAAUAUGGACAAAAUUAGAAGGACUUACACUUAUCCAAAUCAAACCUACUACAAAACUAGUAGCUGUGGUACUGGCAUAAAAAAGGACAUAGAGAUCGUGGAAUAGAAUUCAAACUCUAUAAAUUGAUUCAUGACCAGUUGAUUUUGAGCAAGGGUGCCAAGACAACUCAAUAAAGAAAGAAUAGUCUUUUCAAUACAUGGUAGUGGGACAAUUGGAUAUCCACAGGCAAAGAAUGAAGUUGUAC
rnacentral:lncRNA from 1 species